rnacentral:rRNA from 1 species
UCUGGCCUUCGGGUCCGAGUUGUAAUUUGUAGAGGAUGCUUUUCGCGCGGUGCCUUCCGAGGUCCCUGGAACGGGACGCCUUAGAGGGUGAGAGCCCCGUACGGCUGGACACCAAGCCUUUGUAAAGCUCCUUCGACGAGUCGAGUAGUUUGGGAAUGCUGCUCUAAAUGGGAGGUAAAUUUCUUCUAAAGCUAAAUAUUGGCCAGAGACCGAUAGCGCACAAGUAGAGUGAUCGAAAGAUGAAAAGCACUUUGAAAAGAGGGUUAAAUAGCACGUGAAAUUUGUUGAAAGGGAAGCGUUUGCGACCAGACCUUUUCUUGGCGGAUCAUCCGGUGUUAUCACCGGUGCACUUCGCCAGGUUGAGGCCAGCAUCGGUUUUUGUAGGGGGAUAAAAGCCUAGGGAAUGUGGCUCCUUCGGGAGUGUUAUAGCCCCUCGCAUAAUACCUUACGGGGACCGAGGACCGCGCUUUAUGCAAGGAUAGCUGGCGGUAAAUGGGCCGUCAACGACCCGUCCUUGAAACACGGACCAAAGGAGUCGAACAUUUGUGCGAGUGUUCCGGUGUUAAACCCUCACGCGUAAUGAAAGUGAACGGAGGUGAGAGCCCUUACGGGUGCAUCAUCGACCGAUCCUGAUGUCUUCCGAUGGAUUUGAGUAAGAGCAUAACUGUUCGGACCCGAAAGAUGGUGAACUAUGCGUCGAUAGGGUGAAGCCAGACGAAACUCUGGUGGAGGCCUGCAGCGGUUCUGACGUGCAAAUCGAUCGUCAAAUCUGCGCAUCGGGGCGAAAGACUUAUCGAACCAUCUAGUAGCUGGUUACCGCCGAAGU